rnacentral:rRNA from 1 species
UACGUAGGGGGCAAGCGUUGUCCGGAAUCAUUGGGCGUAAAGCGCGUGUAGGCGGCUCGAUAAGUCUGCUGUGAAAGUCCAGGGCUCAACCCUGGGAUGCCGGUGGAUACUGUCGAGCUCGAGUCCGGAAGAGGCGAGUGGAAUUCCUGGUGUAGCGGUGAAAUGCGCAGAUAUCAGGAGGAACACCAAUGGCGAAGGCAGCUCGCUGGGGACGGUACUGACGCUGAGACGCGAAAAGCGUGGGGGAGCAAAACAGG